rnacentral:hammerhead_ribozyme from 1 species
AUUCAGAUGACGAGUCCCAAAUAGGACGAAACCCGAUUCCUAGAU